GGCCAUGGAGCACCUCCACUGCCCCCAUGCUCGCAUCGAGAGCAGCUCGUGGUGCGCUGGCUGCCAUGAUGGAAACGGCAAGGUGCCCACGCAGCCGCAGCUGCUGAGGCACUGGAGACGGAGGCCCUCCUCAAUGGCUUCAAUAUGCCCGUGUCGACCUCGCACGCCAUGGUGGUGCGCCCCUGAUUGUUUGAUAUGGUGCCACUGCUGGUGGACGAGGUGCUGGAGAAUGUUCAUCAUGACUUGUAUGCCUCCAGGGAUGAGAAGAUAUGAGCUAUGCACGCAUGCAUUUGAGGAAUGUCAACUGCUGUAAUAACAAGUGUGCCCACAACAAUCAGGGCUUGGAGCAAGUAUGUAUACUGAAGGAAGUUGUGGUCUAGGGUUGCAGCGACAAGGCACCGUUUUGCAGGUAAAGAAGAAAAGGCUAAGACGAUCUGAAGCAAGUAGUUUAGAUCCUUGUAAUGUUUCUGGCCGCUUUGGAGUUUGGCAUGUCAUGGAAAGCUGGUCUUGGCGCCGCUGCUGGUGAUGUGCUGGUUGUGGCAUCGCGUGUGUGAUACUGCCAGCUUUGGUACUUGUAGUGUCGUCUUUGUAAUGCUCCUGGCCAGGGAGUGGUGGUGAUACUGAGUAGCUGAUCAUAUUUUCGAGUCUUGUGGGUUUUUUGUAUUUAAAAUGAUAUGAUUUGUGCUGUGUGCACAUUAUUGUUUGUUGUGUGUUGUGAAUGAUAAAAAAGAUGCAAAAUUUUGAGUGCCGAAUACUAAUGUUUGUUACUAA